rnacentral:rRNA from 1 species
AUGCAGAGGUAUACCACUAGGGACAUAUGGGAGAUGGAGGACCGCCAGAGCCCGCGCAUGGGGUGCAGCGUCGUCCUCGGCGUUGACGGCGGCGCCAGCAACACCGUCUGCGUCUGCAUACCGGCCGCCAUGCCCUUCGCCGACCCGCUCCCCGUCCUCGCCCGCGCCGUCGCCGGAUGCUCCAACCAGAACUCCGUAGGAGAGGACAAGGCGAGGGAGACGCUGGAGCGAGUGAUGGCGCAGGCUCUCCACAAGGCUCGCCGGAGACGAUCAAACGUGUGCGCGGUCUGCUUGGCCGUAGCCGGCGUCAACCACCCCAUCGACCAGCACAGAAUGCUGGACUGGCUCAGGGAGAUUUUUCCGAGCCAUGUGAAGCUGUUCGUGGAGAACGACGCGGUGGCGGCACUGGCCAGCGGCACCAUGGGCAAGCUCCACGGCUGCGUGCUCAUCGCAGGGACAGGAACAAUAGCCUACGGUUUCACCAGUGACGGCAGGGAAGCUCGGGCAGCUGGUGCAGGGCCGGUGCUAGGUGACUGGGGAAGUGGCUAUGGGAUUUCAGCACAGGCAUUGACAGCAGUUGUGAGGGCCUAUGAUGGCAGGGGUCCUGAAACAGUACUCACAAACAACAUCCUUGACUUCCUUGGACUCGCAUCGCCGGAUGAACUGAUAGGUUGGACAUACGAAGAUCAAUCUUGGGCGCGCAUUGCUGACAUUCUCCCUGUUGUGGUAGAAUCUGCCGAAGCCGGCGAUGAAGUAGCAAACAAGAUCUUGCACAAUUCAGUUGGUGAACUAGCUUCCAGUGUCAAGGCUGUAGUGCAGAGACUUGCGCUUAGUGGAGAAGAUGGAAAAGAUCUAUUUCCGCUUGUUAUGGUCGGUAAAGUUCUUGAGGCAAACCAGAGGUGGGACAUUGGUAAGGAAGUGAUAAGUUGUGUUACCAAGACAUAUCCAGGGGCAUAUCCAAUACAUCCCGAGGUGGAACCAGCUGUUGGUGCAGCAUUACUAGCAUGGAAUGCUAUAGCAAGUGAAUUGGAUGGUGAUCUUAGGGCUGCUGCUUAA